UGGGCCGGAAACCUACACAUGCAGUCGAGCGGAACGAUGAGAGCUUGCUCUCAGGCGUCGAGCGGCGGACGGGUGAGUAAUGCCUAGGAAUCUGCCUAGUAGUGGGGGAUAACGUUCGGAAACGGACGCUAAUACCGCAUACGUCCUACGGGAGAAAGUGGGGGAUCUUCGGACCUCACGCUAUUAGAUGAGCCUAGGUCGGAUUAGCUAGUUGGUGAGGUAAUGGCUCACCAAGGCGACGAUCCGUAACUGGUCUGAGAGGAUGAUCAGUCACACUGGAACUGAGACACGGUCCAGACUCCUACGGGAGGCAGCAGUGGGGAAUAUUGGACAAUGGGCGAAAGCCUGAUCCAGCCAUGCCGCGUGUGUGAAGAAGGUCUUCGGAUUGUAAAGCACUUUAAGUUGGGAGGAAGGGCAGUAAGUUAAUACCUUGCUGUUUUGACGUUACCGACAGAAUAAGCACCGGCUAACUCUGUGCCAGCAGCCGCGGUAAUACAGAGGGUGCAAGCGUUAAUCGGAAUUACUGGGCGUAAAGCGCGCGUAGGCGGUUUGUUAAGUUGGAUGUGAAAGCCCCGGGCUCAACCUGGGAACUGCAUCCAAAACUGGCAAGCUAGAGUACAGUAGAGGGUGGUGGAAUUUCCUGUGUAGCGGUGAAAUGCGUAGAUAUAGGAAGGGAACACCAGUGGCGAAGGGCGACCACCUGG
rnacentral:rRNA from 1 species